AUCGCAGUGGGCUGCAGGACAAGAGCUGCCCUUGAGUAGGGACACCUCUCAAGGUUAUUCCUCAAGGCUGAGAGAAUCCUUAUCACAUCAGAUACUCGUGAAGGGUGUCACCCCAUCUGCAACACCAGCCUCGGGAAGCAUCACGAGGCAAAGCUAUCCGGGAGAGAGAGCCAAUGCCAAGACCUGGGGCUGCAGGUAACCCCAGAAUCCAGCCUCUGCUGCUGUCAAGGCAGAGAAGAGGAACAGCUGCUGCUGCUGCCUUAAAGACUGAUCUUCCAUCUCAUCUUGUGAAACCUUUCAGAGGGAAGUGGUCAAUCUCAAGCUGUUGUUUGGCAUAAUUUUCAUGGAAGUCUCCAAAUAGAUGUUAUGCCUCAGUGCUGAAGACGGCGUUUUUUAGAAAAAAUAAACAAAAUGCUGUUACCACA